UUUUCAAAGAGCAAUUUGUUUCGUGGUAAAUUAACUGAGGAGGCCUUAGAUAAAAUAAUCAAAAAAUGUAAAGUUGAGAAUGAUAACAUCAGUUAUAAAGAGAUGAUAAAAACCAUUACCGAUGGCUGUGUAGAAGAAGAAUUAUAUUCAAUUUGGAUAUUAAAAUCAACAGAUAAUACAUUAACAACUCCUACACAAUAAUAAUAAUAAUAUAGUUAAACUCAUUAAAAAUUGUUCUAUAAUAUAAAUUAUGGAAACUAUUAAAUUUAUUAAUAAGUGUUUAAAUUUAUUUAUAUCAAAUUAUGUUUCAUUUGUAAUAGUGACAGAUCUGUUUUAUUCUGCCGUUAGGCUAUAUGUAUCACAUUUAUACAAAUAUAAUGACUUUAAUAUAUUUUUUUGAGAAAAA